CUUUCCUGUGGACAGAACUAGAAAAUGCAUAUGCAUAUUCAUAUGCAUUCAUGUAAUUACAUAUAUACAUAAACACUGCCAAUGCAAAUUCAGAUCUACAGGGUUUUUAUUGAAUGUGUAUCUUUCAUCUGAAUCUCCUUUCUCUAAUACCAAGCACUGUUGUUUUUGAGGACGGGGGAGUAAUAGAAUUAGAAUAUCCCAAAAUGUCUCAUUUACUCUGUCGCACAUUAUAUAAACAAAAGAAUAAAGACAAUAACAACAAUACCACUAACAACCCAAUUGAGGAAAAUGGUUUUUUAAUUUGUCGCUGCCUUGGUAUAUGAAUAAAUUAUUGUGUCUUAAAGUCUCUAGGAAUAGUUCUAAUCCAUAUGGUUGUUCCACAACAGGGAUACAACAGGUUCAUUCAUUACAUUGUGUUUUCAAUGUCUAGAGGCAAAAUUUUUUAAAUUUAAUUUAGUUUUAUAAUUAUGUAAAAACAAAUGUGGUUUGCAACUCAAAUAUAACCAAAAAAGUUACAUUCAAAUAGUCUAGCCUUGACACAAAGAUCUGCAAGCAUUUCCAAAGCCUGGGCCCAGGUGAAUCAGGAACUCCUGCUCUCCACAGACGCUGGAUUCUCUGGCUAGGAUUGCUCUUUCUGCCUGAGUUUGGGAGGAAAGGAUGAAAUUUCCCUGGAGUCAAUUUCAAAGCUUAGCCUAUCAGGGGUUUUAGUGUCUCAUGGAGAAUUAGCUAGAAAUUAGGAAUAAAAUCUGAGUAAGUUAGAAUAGAAUAAAUGAAAAUCUGAAUAAAAUAGGCCAUUUAACAAAAUACAGUACUUCUAAUUCAGGUCUGGAACUUGUAUCCCAAAACGAAGACACAGUCACAAUGGCUGUCCCAGCCCCAUCGCAGGCCCUCACACGUCCCUUUUACUCACAGAGAGACAGGAGGUCCGAUGACAAGACUUGCCCUGCGAAGGCCCCUCGAGGUGCAGGAUUGAAUGGACACAGCCACUGCCUCUACUCCCGAGGCCCGAGGGUGACCCUGAUGAGGGACUGGCACUACCCCUCUGGCGCCGGGCCCAGGCCUCGGAUGGCCAGCGACCCGCAGAGCUGCACGAGGCCAUCGGGGGCGCCCCAGGCUCUGUCACCUCCCUGUGUCCCGGACUCCUGAGGAGAAGGUGGCAGAGGGCAGGGGACGCGGCUGCGAGAUGCAAAGGGUGGAGGGAGCAAGAGUCACGCGGAGACCCGGGGCAGCGCGGGCCCGUGGAGCUUCCUUCCCAGGUAUUUCCUGAGUGUUUUAUCUGGCAGGCACUUGUGGAGGCUCUGGGGAGACGGGGUGGACAAGGCAAAAAGAGCGCCUGUUCUCAUGAAGAAGACCUUCUGGCACAGGAGCCAGACGUUUCACAGGAGCCUGAGCUGACCCCACACACAGAAAACACAGAACUUGAGGGAGCAGAUGGAAGAAAGAAAAUCAGCAGGUUGGAGGGUGAAAAGAACCCAAAGAAGGGCCAUGUAUUUGUGGAGCAGGUGGUUGCUAAAGGGGGUGAGAAUAAGGACAAGCUGAGUUCAGAAAAGUUAAGGGAAACCGAGGAAUGUGUACAGCAUCAUCCAGGUCCUCAAGGAGCAGGCUGAGCUGAGCAGUGAGGACUGGGAGAGUAACUUACUCCACAGCGAACCUAUGCACCUGACAAGGAGAUCCAAGGAUGCAUCAGGGUUGGUUUCUACUGAUGAGAAGCAGCAAUUCCAAGAGGUGGAGGAUGCAAACAUGAGGCUCAACCUUGAAGCUGCCCUCAGAGUGGAUGCCCUGCCACUGUAGCCCAACUGGCCCACCCAACCUAGAACUCAGCCAGAUUUCAGCCUCUCAGGAUACAACCAACACCUGGGCUCCAUGUUGGCUCAAAGCAGUCAACACUACCAAGGUCUCCAGAGGAAACUACUGAUAUCAGUAGCUACUGUCUAUGUC
ensembl:lncRNA